AUCCAAAUAGCUUAAUUUUAAAAGUUUAACAUUGAAAAUGUUAAGAUAGAUUAUAUCUUUUGGAUA
rnacentral:tRNA from 1 species